GCCGAAAAUUGAGAUUGCCGCAGAUCAGUUUUAUCGUGAGAGAGAAGAAAAAAAGUGAUUUUUUUUUGUUCGAACUUACCCACUACAUUCAGCAGCGCCAGUAGCUCGCAUACGUAAUAUCGAUAUGCCCACCAAUUGUGAUGCCGAUGUCGAGAUCGAGCAUUAGCGCGUGUAUUUUUCCACCCUCCCAUGAUUUCCAUAACCAUCGCGGAGUAUAAAACAAUAUCGCCUG